GCAGAGCUGCCGAGGGGGUAAAAAACCUGGGACGUGGCAAUGCCCCCCCGCGUCUCAUCCGGACCGAAGCGCAGGACUUCUUCCAUCUUUCGCGGGGUGUGAUCAGCCGGCCGCGCAGCCGCAGAACGGGAACUGCGGCUCCGCCCCCGUGGCUAGCGGCUGCGGCCGGCUGCGCGAGGCUAUGGACAAGGCCGAGGGAUCAGCCGGCCGCGCGUGGUGGGCCUUCGCGCAGCUCCUGGUCCUGGGUCUGUGGCGCACGCUGCCCACUGCAGGUGCUCUGGAAGUGGAGAUGGCAGGGACGACUCAGAGAGUAUUCCUGAAUGACAAUGCCACCAUUUUCUGCAAGGUGUCUUGUUUCUCACACGUGGACAUCAGGAUUAUGGGUAUCACCUGGUUUCGGAAGAGUCAGGCCUCUGAAAGAGAGGUGAAACUAUUUGAGUUUUUUGGAAACCAUCAAGAGGCAUUCCGAUCUGGGGCCAUAGUGUUGCCGCGGAGGCUGACGAGGGGGGACGCCUCAUUGCAACUGCCACGAGUCCAGCUGGGGGAAGCAGGAGAGUACCGAUGUGAGGUGGUAAUCACCCCUCAGAAGGCACUGGGAAGAGUCUGGCUGGAGGUUGUCGCUUACCCGGUCAGCCGCUUAUUCCUAGACCAAGCCAUGAUGAAAGAAAAUCAAAAGAAACACAUUUCAUGUACAUCAAGUGGGUUUUACCCAAAGGACAUUAAUAUAACGUGGAAAAAAUGGACCUGGAAGAAACCCCAGUAUCUGGAGUUUUCUGAGGGUGUCAACACUACUCCUGCCGUGAAGAAUGAGGAUGGUACAUUUAAUAUCACUAGCUUCUUGAGCCUGAACCCCUCUCUGGAAGAUAAUGUGACCAUCUACCAGUGUGAGAUAUGGCAUAUAUCCUUGCAUGCCUCCCAGAGGCUAAACUUCACUCUGACUAUGAUAGAUUCAGAGCAUACAACUGUUUUGUACAUCAUUCUUUCCGUUAUUGGAUCUGUCUUGCCAAUUGGACUGCUUUUAUUAAUUUUAUUUCGGUUUCUUCAGAAAAGGUAAGGGGCGCAAAAGGAAGUCCAGGUGCUGACAUUAUUACCUGAAAUUUGGCUGUGCUAUCUAUUGAAAAGAGAGACUAAGUCUUCAUGAUCAGCCUGGAUUAUGUGGUGGUUUGCAAGUAUGGCUUCAUUCCUUCACUCUUCCCUGUGUCCAUGGUCUUUACCAUAUAACUUUGCAGUGCCAUCCAGUGAUGGGCUGCCACUUAAUUGGGCUUAACCUUGUGACUUGAUUUGGCCAAUACAGUGGGGCAGAAGUGAAAGAAUACUGUUCUAAGCCUAGCCCUCAAGAGGCCUUGUGUAUUCCAUUUGCUUUCUUUUGUGCUUCUGACAUUGUGAGAGAAGGACACAUCCACGCUAGCCUGCUGGAGGACGAGAGACACCAGAAGCUAGAGCUAGUUGCUCUAACGGAGACCAGUCUAGAUCAGACAACAGCCACCCACCUCUCAAAUAUGUGAACAAAUCUAGCUGAAGGCAUCAGUGCCAACAGAGCCAACUCUCAAAUAUAUGAGAAAUAAAUAUUUAUUUUUUCAAAGCUGCUGAUUUUUAAACUGACUUGUUGCACAGCAAAAAGAACUGAUAAAUCUCAGGAAGGUGAGUUUUGACCAAAAAGUAUGGUUGCCAUGGAGAUGAGACUGCUCAGACCCUCUGAAAGAGAGAGAGACAACUCACACCUGCUAUGAAGAAUGUAUUCAGCCAACAUGCUCCACCUGUUGCAUCUCAGGGAUCUGCUGCAGUAUUCAAGACAGUACCCCUAAUAACUUUUUUGUAACUCCAUCUUGAAAGCUGCCUCACAGAAGACCCAAACUGACACAAGGAGGGGCUGCUUUCAUCAUGCUACAUUCCUGGCUUAUUCAAGUGGAGGAACUGGUAGAAUGACAUUGGCCAUUUACAGAGACAGACAGCAGAGGUCACAAGGUUUCUCAAGAGAUUGUGUCAGUAACUGAAAUUACUUUUCAUGAUGACCCAGACAGCUUGCUCAACAGCAGAUUGUUUAAGCUGCCCUCCUUGAUAGCCUUCUGCCAGUUAUCUUAUUCAAGGGAACAAAAGUAACACUUUAUAAAGAAGACAUGCAGAUGAGAAAUACAUACAUGAAAAGGUGCUCAGUAUCACUAAUCAUCAGGGAUUUGCAAAACCAGUGAGAUAUUACCUUACUGUGGUUAGAAUGGCUGUCAUCAAAAAGAGAAGAAAUAAUCGUUGGUGAGAAUAUGGAGAAAAGGGAACCCUCAUGCAUUGAUGGGAAUAUAAAUUGGUUUUGACAGGAAUAUAAAUUGGUGCAGGCACUAUGGAAAACAAUAUGGAAGUUCCUCAAAAAAUUAAAAAUACAGCUACCAUAUGUUCUAGCUAUAUCACUUCUGGGUAUUUAUCCAAAGAAAAUGAAAGCACUAACUUAAAAAGAUACCUGCAUCCCAUGUUCACUGAAGCAUUAUUUAUAAUAGCCAAUUGUAUAGCAAAUUAAUAAGAGGGGUUAAUUUGAAAGUUACUGAGUAAAACAAGUUCUCAUCAUGAGAAAAAUAAUUUUGUGACUAUACAUGGUGGUGGAUGUUGACUUAUUGUGGUGAUCAUUGUAUGAAUAUAUGAAUAUUGAAUCAUGUAUACCUGAAACAUGUUAAAUGUCUAUUAUGACUCAAUAUUUUUAAAAAAGAAUACUUAUAUUUCUAUAUUUCAAGACUGGUCCAUUUCUAU